AGCCCAACUUACACGCGUCAGACCGACACGGUGCAGAGGUCCUCACUAGGCUGUUUACAUCAGACCUGUCGCCAGUCUUCCCGGCACUUUUAGUCUAGUUAGCUCUGUGACCCCAAACAAGCACCAACUUGGGGGCGGGGGGGGGGGGACCACUUCAGACAUGUAGAUCUCAAGGGUGAGCAGGUAAGAUGGCUCAGCCGGAAGACGCAAGCUUGACAACCUGAGUCCAAGACCUGUAACCCACAGAAAGGUAACGCGAGAGCUGACUCCACCAAGUUCUCUGAACCUCCAGUGCGCACAUACACACACAACAACAAGGACAACUGAAAGUAAUGGACAUGUAACGAACUAUGGCUUGAUCUUCAAACAAAAAACUUAGUCAAAACUAAACGAAUCCAGAGGACCCACACUUACGGAGGUCCUCAGCUCCUGCGCCUCACUUCUCCUUUUCUUGAUGCUGCACUCAAAAGAGGCUGCACCUAUAAAUAUACCUUGACAUUUUCCGGAAAGCAUCUUCUACAGAAUCUUAAAAAAAAUCACUAAAGUAAUGGCAUGAUCUUAAAAAAAAUACCACUUGGUAAAAAUAACUGGCCAGGCCCACUGUACAUUUCUUUACCUAGGAAUCUGUUACUAUUAAUAAACUAAUAAAAUUGUUA